UACGUAGGGGGCAAGCGUUGUCCGGAUUUACUGGGCGUAAAGAGCGCGUAGGCGGAAGCUUAAGCGUGGCCUGAAAGCCCCCGGCUCAACCGGGGAGGGUGGCUGCGAACUGGGCUUCUUGAGGGCGAUAGAGGAGAGCGGAAUUCCUGGUGUAGCGGUGAAAUGCGUAGAUAUCGAGGAGGAACACCCGUGGCGAAGGCGGCUCUCUGGGUCGGACCUGACGCUGAGGAGCGAAAGUGUGGGGAGCGAACAGG
rnacentral:rRNA from 1 species